AACGUUUGUAGUCCUCGGCGUCAGGAAUGAAACGGCUGGCGGCGGUAGCUUAACUACAUGCAAGUCGAACGAAGCGAUUUAGUCGGAAGUUUUCGGAUGGAAGCUAGAUUGACUGAGUGGCGGACGGGUGGAGUAACGCGUGGGUAACCUGCCUCAUACAGGGGGAUAACAGUUAGAAAUGACUGCUAAUACCGCAUAAGCGCACGAGGAUGCAUGUUCUUGUGUGAAAAACUCCGGUGGUAUGAGAUGGACCCGCGUCUGAUUAGCUAGUUGAGGGGUAACGGCCCACCAAGGCGACGAUCAGUAGCCGACCUGAGAGGGUGACCGGCCACAUUGGGACUGAGACACGGCCCAAACUCCUACGGAAGGCAGCAGUGGGGAAUAUUGCACAAUGGGGGAAACCCUGAUGCUGCAACGCCGCGUGAGUGAAGAAGUAUUUCGGUAUGUAAAGCUCUAUCAGCAGGGAAGAAGAUGACGGUACCUGAGUAAGAAGCCCCGGCUAACUACGUG
rnacentral:rRNA from 1 species